UUUGAAAUCUGGUGGCCUCAGGUCAUCCGAGUUGUAAUCUAUAGAAGUGUUUUCCGUGCUGGCUCAUGUACAAGUCCCUUGGAACAGGGCGUCAUAGAGGGUGAGAAUCCCGUCCUUGACAUGAACUACCAGUGCUCUGUGAUACAUUUUCAACGAGUCGAGUUGUUUGGGAAUGCAGCUCAAAAUGGGUGGUAAAUUCCAUCUAAAGCUAAAUAUUGGCGAGAGACCGAUAGCGAACAAGUACCGUGAGGGAAAGAUGAAAAGCACUUUGGAAAGAGAGUUAAACAGUAUGUGAAAUUGUUGAAAGGGAAACGAUUGAAGUCAGUCGUGCUCUUUGGAUUCAGCCGGUUCUGCCGGUGUACUUCCUUUGAGUGGGGUCAACAUCAGUUUUGAUCGCUGGAUAAAGGCUGGAGGAACGUAGUACCCUCGGGUAAACUUAUAGCCUCCUGUCACAUACAGUGGUUGGGACUGAGGAAC
rnacentral:rRNA from 1 species